UAAUACGGAGGGUGCAAGCGUUAAUCGGAAUUACUGGGCGUAAAGCGUGCGUAGGCGGAUUAUUAAGUCAGAUGUGAAAGCCCCGGGCUCAACCUGGGAACUGCAUUUGAAACUGGUGAUCUAGAGUAUGGUAGAGGGGGGUAGAAUUUCUAGUGUAGCGGUGAAAUGCGUGGAUAUCAAGUGGAACACCGGAGGCGUAGGCGCUUCUCUGGACAGAUACUGACGCUCAUGGACGAAAGUUAGGGUAGCGAAAGGGAUUAGAUACCCCUGUAGUCCUAACCGUAAACGGUGUGCACUAGACGUGGGUGGAUUUACCCCCAUCCGUGUCUGAGCUAACGCAUUAAGUGCACCGCCUGGGGAGUACGGUCGCAAGAUUA
rnacentral:rRNA from 1 species